rnacentral:rRNA from 1 species
UACGUAGGGGGCGAGCGUUGCCCGAAUUUACUGGGCGUAAAGGGCACGUAGGCGGUUCCGUAAGUCUGGUGUGAAAUCUCUCGGCUCAACUGGGAGGCUGCACCAGAUACUGCGGAACUCGAGGACGGGAGAGGAGAUUGGAAUUCCCGGUGUAGCGGUGAAAUGCGUUGAUAUCGGGAGGAACACCAGUGGCGAAGGCGGAUCUCUGGCCCGUUCAUGACGCUAAGGUGCGAAAGCUGGGGGAGCGAAAGGG